GCGUUAAUUCAUUCCUCAUCAUAUCUUCAUAUGUCACCUUCAUCACCUGCUGACUUCUGGAAAAGCACAAGGUGAGAACUUUUAGGAGGUCUCCAAAUGCCCCCAAGGACUAUACAAAGACAUCUGAGUAAGCCAGAGGUUCUAUAAAUAAAUUUAGCCUCAUUCUCAGGUUAGCAAUAAUGGGUAGCAACAUUUCUGGAAAUGUAUUUACCCAGAAACCCCUUCCGGACCAGAAACCAGUGAGGCUGUCAGAAUGCUGACCUCAUUAUUAACACAAGCACUUCAUUUCUCAUUUAUCUUUUUCAUCCUUAGCAUUUAGAUAACAUUAACUUUCAGGAUGACGAUUAUUCCCAACGGGUGCCUCCAGGAGACAAUUUACAAGAUCUUCCAGACUAUGGUAGUGAUGAAGAAAUUCUGUAUUUUACACCUCCUGUGUAAGAAAACAAGGUGCAAACCUUUGAAACAUGGUCCUUUUUUAGCAAAUCAAAGUUUAACUCAGUGUUUUCCUUUCCUGAGGUUGUUUCAACUGUGAUGUGACUGUGAGCCACAUCAAGUGUAACAGUAGAGAAGAAUAGUGGCUUGAAAUUGGAAUUUCUUUGCUUUUACUAAUAAAUCUCUUGCAAGCA